ensembl:lincRNA
GCUUGUCACUUGGCUUUAUUUUCAUAAUUUUUUUUUGACAUUUCAGUUCGACAGACAGUUCUGCAAAAACCAAAUCACGAGUUAGUCUUGCCAGGAAAAGGGACGUACCAGUUAACAGUCCAGCUGCCCACCACUCCGGAUGAAGUCCCAGAUUCUAAGGAGAAAAUUCCAACACGUUUUGAAUCCAAGACCAAAGAAGAUGUCAAAGAACCAGGUGUGUCAGAAGAGGUGGAAGAUAUCCCAAGAGAAUGUGAAAAUGUUCCCAGUUUGGUGGCAUUUGAAAACAUCCACACGAAUGUGACUGACAUGAUGUUAACCUUGUUAGUGGAGAACGUAACUGGCCUGACCAGUGAUGACUUUGAAGUGGAAAUAAUACGAGAUGUUGCUGUUGCUGUGGUUGCCUUUAAAAAGCACACAGACACUACGAAAUUUGUUUCUGACUGUGCCACUCACAAUUUGAGUGAACGACUUCAGUUGUCUCCAAGACUUCUAGAAGAAACAAAAACAGUCCGGGUUGAAAACCUGCCCCCUGGUGUUGACGACUACCAGCUACAACUUUUCUUUGAAAAUCCUUUGCAUGGAGGAGGAAGAGUGGCCCACAUUGAGUGUUUUCCUGAAGAGAGUUCAGCUCUGGUUGAAUUUUGUGACAGAAAAGUGUUAGACACCAUCCUGACCAAGAAACACAACUUCAAUAAGAUGCCGCUCUCUGUCUUCCCCUACUAUCACUCUUUGGGGACAGCCUUGUACGGAAAGGAACAGCCUCUCAUCAAGCUGCCAGCACCAUUUCAAGAGUCGUUGGUGCUGCCUUUGUGGAACUUCUUGCAGAAAAAGACCCAUCUGAGAAAAGAGCUGGAUGAUGAAAUGGCACAGCAUCACUGUUUGCUAACAUGGUCCCAAGUGGACAAUAAAGUUACCAUCAGACCUGCAGCCACCUUAGUCAAUCAAGGAAGACCCAAAAUCAAGACAUGGCAGACAGAUGCUUCGUCAGCACUCUCUGGCAUCAGGUCUAAAUAUACAGUCACUUCACUUAACGUGACUGCAAGAGUGUGGAACGUCAUAAAAAACGACUUAGAAGAUGAUAGGAUUUUGAUCGAGUUUGAUACCUCUAAGGAGAUUGUAACCUUAACAGGAAAAUCAGACGAUAUCCAAAAUGUUAGUCCACAAUUCAAGGAAUUAAUAGAAAAGACUACUCAAAAAAUUCAAAAGGAAGAGCAAAGUCUGAAGGAAAAAGUGGCCAUUUCUUCAGCACAGUAUUUUCUUUUGCACCACAGUGGUGUUCUGGAGUGUAUGUGCACAGAAUGCCCAGACAUGGAGGUUCGUUAUGAUGCGAAUGCUCAGAACCUGUGCCUUAAAGGACCCCACAUCGAUGUGUACAAAGCGAAGUGUGAAAUUCAGGAAAAAGUGUACACUAUGGCUCAGAAAAGCAUUGAGGUCUCUCCUGAGGUCUUCCAGUUUUUACUGCAAGUAAACUCAAAAAAAUUCUCUGAGUCCUUUUUUAUAGCACAAAAGAAUCUUACAGUUUAUGAACUCAAGGGUACCACUGUCCUCCUAACCAGCUGUUCUUCUGAAGUCCUGGCAGAAGCUGAAAAACAAAUGCUCAGUGCCUUAGAUUGUAAACACAUUGACGUUGAGGGCAAGGAAAUUCUUACUACUGGCAAAUGGGAACAGUUUAUUGCCAAUGUCCAAAAAAAGUUUUAUGCUUCCACAGACAUUAUCGUAAUCAAUAAAUCCACUGCAGGCAGCCCAGGUGAAGUCAUUGUGGCAGGUCUUGCAAAAGAAGUAAGUGAAGUUGUCCGCUUGGUUCUUGAAUUCUUGAAAAAACACAUGAAAAUAGAGAGGUUGGUUGAAGUAGAGACAUCCUUGAUUGUAGACUACUUAAAAAAAGACAAGAAGCUCCUCGGGUCAAAAAUAAAUAAGGGAGAUAUGCAGAUACUUUUCAAUCCAGAGAACAAA